AGAAUCUUUCCAUUUCUCUAGAAAGAGAAUGAAACGGAAAGGCAAACAAUCGUGGUUUUGCUUCGAGCAAGUCAGAAUGACAUGACAGAUUCCUGGAUUACUGUACGCACCGUGACGUCACAAAGGCUAACCAAGCAUUUGGGGAACUAAACUAUGAAAGAACAAUAGGACAACUACUAUGCAUCAGAUUAAACAGUGAGGGUUUACAUGGGAGUUUAGUUUGGCCAUUUUAUACACUGGCUCUAGAUUCAGAUUAAAAUAGCUUUAUUGGCAUGGUAAAAGCAAAGCUUUACAUUGCCAAAGCAUGGGAACAUUAACUAUACAUACAUACAAAUUUACACACAUAAGCAUGCAGUUAAAGGAAAAGAUGUUAAAAUACAAUAAAAUAAAGGAAUAGUAAAAAAAUGUAAAUAAAAGCGGUUUGUUAUGCUAUGUUUCCAUUGACCUGGCAUAGUGUUUCUGUUAUUGUUCGGUAUGGUCCUGUUCCACUGGUUGUCCUUUUGUCAUGCAGGACUUUACAUAUCUCUCAGACAGGUUUUGGCUUGCUGGGGUUUCUCCAAGUAGUUUGUGCUUGGGUUGUAUCCAAUUAAAGUCUUUGUGAUGGGUUGUGAAGUGGGGGAAAAUGUUUCCCUAAUUUGUGUAUAACUAGUGCAUGUUGUUAAAAAGUGCAGUUCUUUUUUCUGACCAUUGGCGACAGAGAUCACCGUGGGGAGCGACAAGACAAGUUGGGAAAAUUUCAACUUUAUGCAAAUGCCGAGAGACAUUCGCGAGCGACUACCAAUGAUAGUGAAGACAGAGGAUCUUACUUCAACCGUCUUCAGGCAGGGUGAGUGUAAGAUAUUGGAGUCGACUCGAGCGCAGGCAAGACUGAGAAGAAGUUAAAAGUUUUUGUGUGCGGUUUCAUUUGUCUGUAACCACAUACAUAGAUAUGGCUUAAUAAAAUGGUGCAUGGAAAACCGUGUCGGCAUUCUGAGUUAGUUUGAUUCAAAUAUUGAUAUAAUGUUCGUUCCCUUACUACUCAGUACACUUGACAUUGCGUUUGCUAGUGGGGAGUGUCCUUCCAUACGAACUAGUUGAAACCUCUCUACAAUAUCGGCAAUAUUCUAAUAUUGGCUAUGGUGUUUGAGUCCCGCCUUUUUAGGUGCAAAGCUGUUUAUUAUAAAAGCAGGCGCACAAACACCGUUCUUCAGAAUUUUCUUCCUUCAAGACAGUGAUUCAUCUCUCGUCUAGAAGCCCUCUACUGCUUCACCAUCAACUACAUGAGUCAGCAGGCGGGAUCUUCACGGUAAUGAGAAGACUCCGCUCCCCUGCAGUGUUCCGGCAAACAUCACUCCGCCUCGCCACUCGAUGCUUCACUGGUGAACGGGCCUCUUCAGCAUCCUGAUUUCCCGCAGCACUUUGACAGGAGAUGUUGCCAUCCUCCAUCAUCUGUAUGAAGACAAUUGACAUGUUCUCAAAACAAGCAUCUUCCUUCAUGAACAAAUCUAAGUAAUAAUGACAGAUGUGAGAGUCAUCAUCCUCAUGAAGGCAGCUAGCAUAUUCUCAAAGCCAACAGUGACCACUUCUUCAUAUUCAGCUUGAACUGCAAGGAAAAGGUUGAACAUAUCUGAUUAAAAACAUAAGCAGUAACAAUGAGCAAAAACUUUAUUUCUCAUUUACAGUACAGGCUGAUUCUUCUAAACUAAACAUUCUCUUGACUGACUCUUCAUCUUUGUGUUUCCACUGUUCCACCAUAAAGCCUUCUAUCUUAAGUUGCCGAGUAAUUAUCGCAAGGUGAAGCUUUCUUCAGUGCUUCCUCCAGUGAGAGGACUGUCUUGUAGUUGAAAGCCUGGUCAAAUCCCAGUUCUUUCAGGUAUGCCACCUUGUAAUCACUACCAGCUGAACCGACCACCUUGCAGCCUUUGAUCUUGCAGAUUUGACCCACCAUUGCACCUACAACACCUGCUGCUGCGCUUACCAGCACUGUUUCACAGGCUGUACCUUGCAUACCUCUUCCAGACCGUAAAGAGUGG